ensembl:lncRNA
GUGUGCCACGAGGAAGCGUGCCUUGCUAUCUCGGUGCAGCGCAGGCCUGCUGUACCGCUGUCCUUUGCUGGGCCUUGAUAAGGUUUGAGCCCUACCCAAAGCCCAGCGUUGGUUUCUGCCCCUCAUUGCUCCUGAAGCUGAGCCAGAAAACCUGCACGUUUUUGCAGUUGGCUCCCAGGGCCUCGCCUGCCUUCGUGUGUAGUGAGAGGAAAUCAUUGGUUCUAUGUGGACUUGGGGAUUCUUCAAGGCCACAGCUUCCGUUGGCAACAGAGAUGGUUUUCAAAAUUCUGGCCAUGGAACAGCCUUCAAAAGAAGGACUAAUCAGAGCACAGUGUAUAAAAUAGCUAAGGCUGGCCUGCUGUGUUUGAAACGGGGAUGUGGGAGGGUAGAGACUGGAACAGACUUUGCUCCAUCGCCAAGUGGCCUGGCAGGAGUGAAGCCCUUAGGGUCUUCAGAGGACAGUUUGAAAAUCGCUGCCCUACUUGUUGCAGUUAAGGCUGUUUAGUAUGCUCUCCUCAAAACUUUUUUCAGUCUGGCUGCAGCCAUUCCUCCCUCCACCUGUAUCUCCCCGUCCAGACGCGUCAGGACAUGAUGUCCCUGUCACUUGUCCGCUUUUCCUGCUCCUGGGUUCUCUGCUCAAGUGCACCUCCUCUGUCAUUCCUUCCUUGGUGCUUUCUCUAACGUUUUGUGCACACCUCAGAUGUCGCACCUGUCACACUGUCGUUGGAGGUCAGUUUCCUACACUGACACGUGGGUCCCUUGAAAACAGGAGUGUGUCUUGUUUUUGCAAUGCUUAACUGAUAUUUUAGGAACACUUGAAUGCUAGGUUCUGGGGAUAGAGUUGAGAGAAGAAGCACUACCCUCAUGAAGCUGACAUUGUAGAGAAGGGGAGACAGACAAUAAGCAAGAUAAGCAAGGAAAAGAUGUGGCCUAUCGAGUGAUCAACACUAGGGAGAAGGACAGCGCAGAGAAGGCGCUAGAGAGUAUGUGUUGGGUGAGGGUGGGAGCAUUCCAACUGGAGGAUGGUGAGGGAAGGCCACGCAGAAGACGACAUGGGCAUCAGCCUGAAGAUGGUGAAAGAGGGAACAGUGUGGACCUUUGUUGGGACACUGGUCCAAGCACAGAGAAGCAAGAUGGCAAAGACACGUGAGGUGACAGCAAGGAAGAGGCCACUGUGGCUAAAGGAAGUUUAGCUAAAGGACUCUUUAGGAAGUGGGAGGGGAGAAGGAGGCGAGAUUAGAGAGGAUAUGGAGUGUUAGAAGGCUGGGGGCCUGGUGGGCCGCUGUAAGGACUCUGGGUAUUAUAAAGUGAGAGGUUCUCCCAUAAUCUUUUGAAGUUCCCACAAUUUCAACAAAGCUGCUUCCACAAAGGACACAAGUGGCUGCCACCAUGACAACUCUCGUGCCCAGUUCUCAGGCCUUGCUUGAUUUCUUGGUUGCCUUUGACGCCAUUGGCCACUUCCUCUUUUGUGAAACUCUUCCUUUAGCUUUUGUAAUCGCACUUUCUCCUUUUUCUUCCCACUUGAGUGGCUACUCUUUCUUGGGCUUCUGUGAUUUUCUUCCUCUGCUCACCCUUUGAGGGUUUUCUCCUAGCCAAGGCUUUCCCCUCAGCCUGCUCCUCUUCUUAAGAUGCACGUCCUCCCUGUGUGACCUCAUCCAAAUGGCCACCUCAGACGUGAACAAGAUUGGUCCCCUUGGCAAGGAAGAAGGUCCCUCAGAACAGCCGUCCUCCAAUGCGGAAGGAGACUAUGCAAAGGUGUGAGUACCAGGAGUUGAAGAAACCAAGGCAUAGACAAAGCCAAUGAUUUUUCCAAGACCACAUAGCUGGAAGUGGGAUUUACAAUCGCCAGGUUCACGUGACUUCAAAGUGCCCUCUCAGUUCACAGGACUUCAGACAGAGAGGAACUCUACUUGGAGAUCUGCGCUUAAAGACUACACCUAAGGAGAUUCGCCUGCACUGGGACCUGAUUUAAAGGAUGACGUCCUGGACUCCAGAGCUGAUGCUGUAUAGGCUUGAGACUUUUGGGAGGUAUUGAGAAGGAUGACAGUAUUUUGCAAGUGGGAGGAAUAUGAUGGUUAAAGUAUGUCCACAAAGUAUUUAACAUUAUUUUCAAAAAGUAGAGUGUAAUUCCCCUCCCCUUGAGAGUGGGCUGGACUUAGUGACUCACUUCUAAUGGAUAGAAUUGAGCAGAAGUGACAGUGUGUGACUUCAGAGGCCAGGUCAUAAAAGUCACUGUGUCUUUCUGCUUGCUCUUCCUUGUGGAUGCUGAACUCUGGGGGGACGUUGUGAGCAGUCUUAUGGAGAGGCCCACAUGAAACCCAGGCCUUCUGCCAACAACCAUUUGAGUGAAUCCUUUGGCAAGUGGAUCCUCCAGCCCCAGUCAAGCCUUCAGAUGACUCCAGGCCCAGUCAGCAUCUUAACUGCAACCUCAUGAGAGAACCAGAAACCCAGUUCAGAACUACCCACCCAAGUCACUGCCAGAUUCCUAAUCCUCAGAAACUGACUGAGAAAAUAAAUGUUCGUUGUCUUAAGUUACUAAAUUUCAGGGUAAUCUGUUUGGUAGAGACAGAUAAUUAACACAUCG